GAGACCAGGGUCCCAGGGAGGGCCCAGCCCUGGGAGGGGGCAGAGUCAAGCACCCACUCCCGGGCCCACCUAGUUAGUGCCCUGACAGAGGGAGCAUCUGGAGGGGAACAGGGCCUCGGCCUGGUGAGUUCAGAGGAGGCUUCCUGGAGGAGGGGGCCUCUACCCACCAGGCUUUAGAGGUUUCUACCAGGCACACGCCACAAGGGAGGUAAAUACAGAUUUGUGGAUUGCCUGAGAAGCCACAAGACCACACACACACACACACACACACACACACACACACACACACACACUGUGGUGUAUGUGAUCUGCCAGGAAGGAGGAGACAUUUUGCUCUGAGCUGCAGCUUUUGGGAGCACCUGUGAGAAUUUGGGGAGACUUAGCUGAGAGCAGUCUGCGAGAUGGGUGACCCUCAGGCAGCCCAUGACUCCAGAACUCGCUGAAAUGUCAUAUCCAGCCAGAGCAGGUGGCAGGGAAAGGACUCCGGACGCGCCAGGGGAAAAAGCUGAGAAGCAGCGCUGGGACCCCGGAUUGCUCAGACCACCUUAAAUCAGCCUCGCCGCCUCAGCUACUGUGGAAAUUCCUUUCUCCGCGGUGGUUGGCUGGAUGUGCCAGCCAAUCCUCCCGCGGCGCUCCCACAUGGGUCCAUGACGUCAUAAUGGGCACUGGCCAAUGGAGAUCGAGAAACCCCCCGACCAAUGGCAGGAGGCUCUAGGAUGGGCUGGGCCAAUCGGAAGGCUGCCAGCGGGGUCUGGAGAGUGCGGCUCGCCCCCUCCCUUAGAGUCGCUCAGAGCCUCGUGGACACCAGGGCUCCCCAGUAGUGGGGGUUGGGGGGGGAUCCGGUCCGAUUAGUCUCCGAAAACCCGGAGAAGCCGGCCACCCCCUGGGCCUGGAGAGUCCCUCCUUCAAAGCAGGAGCCCCUCGCCCAACAAGCUACCUCGGAAAAGCCCGGCCAGAUGGCGGGGCCGACUAGGCGCCUUUCGCCCGAUUUCACAGAUAGGGUCUGGAAAGUCAGUAAGUUCUGACCAAUGGGCAGCAGGGACCCCCGUGGCCAGUGUCAGGAGGCGUAGGAUUGGCGGAAGCUCCCAGCACGAGCCCCUGCAUCUGAAAGUCCUGGGCAACUCCAGAGAGAAGAGAAGGGCCCACGGGGAGUCCAGGAUAGCCCCUGAUGGGGGAUUUCCUCAGCUGGAAACCGAGGGUAGUGACCGAAUCUUCUAAUAAAUUACGCACACUCUCCCUUCCCCCUACAUUUUUGAUUACUACAUUUUGUUUAAAAUGCCUCAGCGGUAGAGCCUUCCACCCUUGACCUCUGGGUCCUGAGUUGGAGCCCCGUCUUGGGCACAGAGAUUUGCUUUUGGAAAAUAUGAUCAGAUCCCAUCCUUCCUGGGCUUAAAAAUCUUCCAGAGCCCCCCCCAUCACCCUCAGAAUAAAAUCCAAAUUCCCAUCUCUGUCUACCCCUGUCCUCUCCUGCCCUCACCUCCUCCCUCUCUCCCCCUCACUCCCCUCGAGCUUCUCCAGCCUCUUGGUUGUUCCUCUAACACUCCAGGGAAGGUCCUGCCCCAGGACCUUUGCAUGCACUGUUUACUUGGCCUGGACCAUGGCUGACUUCUCUCCCUCCAGUCUUGGACGGAGCAUCACAUCCGGGUGAGGCCUGGUCCGGCCAGCCUGGCCACCGCAGCCCCCCAGCCUCCCCACGUGGUCAGCCGCUCUCAUUUUAUUUCCUUCAGUAAAGUCUCCUCCCUCUCUG
rnacentral:lncRNA from 1 species